ensembl:snoRNA
AUCCUUUUGCAGUUCAUAAGCAUGAAGUUUGGGUUUUCACAUGCAUCUGUGAGAAGUACCUUCCCCAAACCCUGUUACAAGGGUGGCUCACAUCUGUAA